GCCUUCAUGGUGUAAUGGUCAGCAAACUCGGCUCGUAUUCGAUAGAUCCGAGGUUCGAAUCCCGGCGACGGCA
rnacentral:tRNA from 1 species